rnacentral:lncRNA from 1 species
AUGCUAUGGCAAGCAUAUGGAACCUAUUCCCACAGAAACAGAUUUGGACACUUAAGUAUGAUUUGGAUGAUAACAGGUAUUCAGUCUUUAUGUGUCCCCAUUUUCUGUAACAUCUUUUAUCAGUACCUUAUGUUAGAACACUUCAGUCCUCUCAUGCAUCUGAACUCUCCUACAGAAUGUCUGCUACGAAUGCUAGCACAGAUUCUGUGGGUAACCUCAAUGGAUUUAAGCCGCCAAUUCCAGAAGUUUCUUUGGUGGUUACAAGUUAUUAACUAUUUUCAUGCAGUGAUCUUCCUGGGGCCGCGCAGCCUUUGUUCUUCCACCACCGGCCCCCAGCCUGGUUCCCACGGAAACGGUUAUUUUUACCAGUCUGGGGGCUUUAGUGAGAGGAAGAUGCCAGCCUCACUGGGGUACCCCGGCCGGCUCAGCCAUCUACUUCCAACGCGCAGACUUGCUAGUAUUGGGGGAAAUGGCGGUAUGUAUGUCUUCACGGUGCUCAGUGCUUCCAGGUAUCAUAAUAUCAGUCCAGGUAUUAUUAGCACCCUUGACAUCUCCCUGCAUUAGUUUCUACUUUUCAUUCCAGAAUUCCAGGAAGUCAACAAAAAACGUGAAUUGGUUAACCUGAAGGAGAUCUUUAGUGGCCCGGAGUUUAAAGUACAAAUAAAAGAAGGAGAUCUUUAUUUAUUUUUUAAAUU